UUAUAGACCAAUUUGGGCAUGGUUAAACUUAUGAUUGGUGAUAAUUAUUCCAUGAACUCCACAUGGAAGAAAGGCAUGAAUGAGGUUUAUUAGUUUUCCUAACACUCAAUUGCGACUCCCUACUUACUUCUUACAAAAAAGCGUAAUGGGAUAGAAUCAAUUCUAAUUCAAGGUCUCCCAAACAGUCAGGAAUUCAAAUCCUACUACACCUUAACAAUUGUAAAGUCCUUGGAUUUUAAAUGGCCAUGGGCAUUGAAGGAGAGGACCCCUUACGAUGGGAACCCCCUCCUUACAACCUUCAAUUUAUGGUUUCAAACAAUACACAAUUACUAAACAAAAAAUGCAAAAUACAUGAACAUCAAAUACACAAUCUUUAAACGAGCCCUAACUCAUUUCGUAAAUAUAGGAACAUCAAAUACACAAUCUUUCACUAGUAGAAUAAACUUGAUGGGCAGCCACAAAUGGCAAGCGGUUUUUGAAUUCCGCUUGCCAAAAUAUAAAUGGAAAGCGAUUUUGGAUGAACCGCUUGCCAAAAUGCAAAUGGCAAGCAGUUUUGGAUGAACCGCUAGCCAAAAUGUAAAUGGCAAGCGGUUUGAGCAUUGAAACGCUUGCCAUUGGUUAAAAAAAAAACCCUUACAAAUUAGAAACCCAUCCUCUCUCUCCCCUCAUUUUCACGGUUCUCCUAUCUCUCUCCUCUAAACUUCUUACGCUCUCUCUCCUCUCUUCCUCCAUUACGCCUCACUUAUCUCUUUCCCUUCCCCUCCAUCUCCUUGUCUUUCUUCUCUCAACCUCCCUUCUGUCCUUUCUCACGCCUCACCACAACAGCUACGAGUGACCAGCAACCUUCGACGAGCGACCGGCGACGAGAAGAAGGCGGUAAGGUUCAGAUCUUCCGACUUGGCGUUUGGGUAUUACGCUGCUUCUCAUGUCAGUCUCGCUUUAAUUUCCGAUACGGGUGAAUCGGGAUAGGGUGUUGGUGGUGGUGAUACGGGUCAAGGUGGUGGCGGUGAUAGGUGGCGCGCGUGGCUGGUGGUUUGCAUGCUGGUGGUGGAACUGUAACAAGAGCAGAAAAUCAGAAAAUUAAGUUAUUUAUUAAUUAAUGUAUUGUAUUUUUUUUAAGGAUCAGAAAAUGUAAUAUUGAAGAAAUUGAUUAAUGAAAAUAGUUAUGUUUAUACAUAUGUUAAGUUCUUGUGUAUCAA